CAAAACAAACACUUUCAUAAAUAAAAAACAUAAGCACGACAAAACACAAGCUUCCCUCUCCUCUCUGUAGCUUCAGAAUUAGGGGGUUCGCAUUCUUAAAUCUUAAUCCUUGCAGCCUCAAAAAUCAAUGAUGAAGAUCGCUCGAAACGAAGCUGAUGAAUUGGCGUUUCGUAAGGCAGUAAAAGUUUCGUUUCAAGUUAGGAGGAAAAAUUAUAACGGGAUUUUGAAAGUUCUAAAAGAAUUCCAGGAUCAAAGUGUGAAGGGGUUGCUUAAAGGUCAUACAGAUAGAAUCACACUUCCAUUUCAAUUUGAGACCACUGG